GUGCGUACCUUGCAAGGUCCUCAUGCCCGUCUGACAGUUUUCACAUGACCUCGACCUCAUUUCAUGGAUCAGUGAACAAGGUUAAGUUUUGGUGGUCGUCCAUAUCUCAAAUACUAAAAGCAAUAUGUCUAGUAUAUUCGGUGUAUGGAAGGACUGCAAGGUGUACAUGUUUAACUGGCAGGUGUCAUCUAACCUUAAUCUCCUUUUCAUAGUUCAGUGGUCAAAGUCUGGCGUAAAUAUAAAAUUUUAUUCCUGGUAUCUAUGAUGAGUUUAUUUAAGUUUAUGAGUUUUUUUUUCUUUUUCUAAAACUAUAUGCAAUAGGUCAACUCCAUGUAUAUUGGGUCUAUGAAAAUAUCUUAAGAUGUACAUGUCAGUCUUGCAGGUUUUAUUUGACUUUGAUCUCAUUUUCAUGGUUCAUUAGUUAUAGUUAAGUUUUUGUACUUUGGUUUGUUUUUCUUAUACUGUAUUCCAUAGGUCUACUACAUUUGAUGUAUGGAAUGAUUGUAAGGUGUACAUGUCUAGCUGACAGGUGUCAUCUGACCUAGACCUCAUUUUCAUAGUUCAGUGGUCAAAGUUAAGUUUUUGAGUCUAUAUCUUUUUUUCUAAUACCAUAAACAAUAGGUCAACUAUAUUUGUUGAUGGAAGAAUACUUAGCUGGUCAUGUCUGCCUUGCAUUGUUCAUCUGACCUUGACCCGAGACAUUUUCACGGUCCAUUGGUCAAUGUUUAGUUUUCUUGGUUAAGUCUGCUUUUUAGAAACUAUAAGCAAUAGGUCAACUAUAUUUAGUGUAUUUAAUGAUUGUAAGGUGAACAUGUAUUUCUUGUUUGUUUAAUAUGACCUUGACCUCAUUUUCGUGGAUCAUGUUAAGUUUAUGUGAUAGGGUAGUCAAGCUUUAUAUUUAGGACUUUUAACACAAUAUCAAUGAUUACACAGCUACUUUUCCAUAGGUACUAUUUCUGUACUAAAAAUCUG
rnacentral:lncRNA from 1 species